rnacentral:rRNA from 1 species
UUCCGGUUGAUCCCGCCGGACCCCACUGCUAUCGAGGUGGGACUAAGCCAUGCUAGUUGAGCGCACAGAACUAUGUCUGUGAGCGGCACACUGCUCAGUAACACGUAGCUAACCUACCCUUAGGACGUGGACAACCCCGAGAAAUUGGGGCUAAUCCGCGAUAGAUGUAUUGUCCUGGAAUGGUAUUACGUCUAAAGGUAUCCCAUACAUGUUUGGUAUAUGCCUAAGGAUGGGGCUGCGGCCGAUCAGGCUGUUGGUGAGGUAAUGGCUCACCAAACCUUUGACCGGUACGGGCCAUGAGAGUGGUAGCCCGGAGAUGGACACUGAGACAAGGGUCCAGGCCCUACGGGGCGCAGCAGGCGCGAAACCUCCUCAAUGCACUUACGUGCGAAGGGGCUACCUCGAGUGCCAUCUGAUGAAGGUGGCUUUUCCUAGGUCUAAAAAGCCUUGGGAAUAAGAGGGGGGCAAGACUGGUGUCAGCCGCCGCGGUAACACCAGCCCCUCGAGUGGUGGGGAUGAUUAUUGGGCCUAAAGCGUCCGUAGCCUGCCGUAUAAGUUUCCCGUUAAAUCCAGCGUCUUAAGCGUUGGACCGCGGGAAAUACUGUACGGCUAGAGAGUGGGAGAGGUCAGCGGUAUUCUGGGGGUAGGGGCGAAAUCCUUUGAUCCCCGGAGGACCACCAGUGGCGAAGGCUGCUGUCUAGAACACGUCUGACGGUCAGGGACGAAAGCUGGGGUAGCGAACCGGAUUAGAUACCCGGGUAGUCCCAGCCGUAAACGAUGCAUGCUAGGUGUUGGGUUGGCCACGAGCCACCCCAGUGCCGCAGGGAAGCCGUUAAGCAUGCCGCCUGGGAAGUACGAUCGCAAGGUUGAAACUUAAAGGAAUUGGCGGGGGAGCACCACCAGGCGUGAAGCCUGCGGUUUAAUUGGAGUCAACGCCGGA